UACGGAGGGGGCGAGCGUUAUUCGGAAUUAUUGGGCGUAAAGGGCGCGUAGGCGGCCUUGUAAGUCAAAGGUGAAAUCCCUCGGCUCAACUGAGGAACUGCCCUUGAAACUGCAAGGCUUGAGGCCGGGAGGGGGUAGCGGAAUUCCCAAUGUAGCGGUGAAAUGCGUAGAUAUUGGGAGGAACACCAGUGGCGAAGGCGGCUACCUGGACCGGUACUGACGCUGAGGCGCGAAAGCGUGGGGAGCGAACAGG
rnacentral:rRNA from 1 species